rnacentral:rRNA from 1 species
GGUGGUUCCUUUCAUCUCCCUCCACCAAUUCCUUUCAUCUCCCUCCACCAAUAAAUCUCUAGGGUAGUCUUCCAAUUCUUCUCCUCCCCUCUUUAUUUAUGCCAUACUUCCCAUGUUGCACCGCCGCCGGCCAAACCUUCUCUGGUCGUGAACACUAAGACCUACACGCUGCCUUCCUCCGGGAGCCCCUGGAGUGCCGCGAGCCUGGACAUGCUGGCCCAAACCAGGCGCCAUGGCGUCGAACCUACCUCCCGGGGAACCAGACGUGCCACCGUCAGCGUCGUCCUUCAACCCCACAUGCGUAGAUUGAAAAGUUCAUCAGAAUAUUGCACGGGAGGUUCUAUCAUCCACCAUCCAGAUUUUUUAGAGUUUGGUUGGUCUGCUUGGAUAGGGGUUUAGGAGGUGCUUUCAGGUAGAGCUAAAGACUUUGUAAUGUGCAAUUUAGCACCUUCAUAGUAGUAUUUGUAAGAUUUUUUAUGAUAAAAAAUAAUGUAUUUUCGAAAGAUUUAUGACUGAAGUUUUCCUUUCAUUUUGGUUACACAUUCUUUGCAGUUCUCUCCCUCUCUCUCUCUCUCUCUCUCUCUCUCUCUCUGUGUGUGUGUAUGUGAUUACACAUGACUUGAUGGUGAUUAGUCUGAAAUAUUUGUGAAGCGAGGCUAUGUCUACAGGUUUUGCGGUUCUUUGUAGACAUGCCCAAGGUUACUUUAGGAUUUCUUGGUGGAUUCCAUUCUAAAUCCUCUUUGUUAAAAUAAUAUAUAAGCUAAUGUCAGUUUUUUUUUUUUUUGCUUUCACCCACCUGAUAGAAGACACGCAAUAGGAACAUAGAAGCAUGUGUAGUAUCGAAUUUGCAGUUGGAUAUAGUACUUUUAUCUUAACCUUUUUAAAUUCAAGAAUAACUUAUUUCUCCCUGAGUGCAUUUUAUCAUGCUAUGUUCCCUUGCUAUUUCUCCUACAUUGUUUGACUACCUAGCUCUAAAAAGUCAGUAUUGACUCAAUUUUCCAGGGCUGGGUUAGUAUCCUAAUAUUUUGAACAAGAGGUCUGUGAAUAGUUUUGAUACGCUACAUUGUAAAGUUUUCGUUUGAGGUCAAGCUUAUUUUUGCUUUUGAUUCCAACAGAGUACACAACACAAUUUAUUAUUUUCUGACUCAUUCAUUGUUUAUGCAGAUCUAGAUAACUUUGGUACGGAGUGUUGUGUUUAUAUUAAGUUGAUUUUCAGUGAUGUUUGAAAAUUUCCACAAACACGAUUCUUUGGUUUCCAGUGGCCAUUUUAAGAAGAUGAUCUAUUCAUGCUUUUAAAUUUGUCGAUUCAAUCCACCAACUAAAUAAGUAGCUGGCGUACACUGUAUGUUGUUAGCAAACCAUCAGCAAAGCCUCGGAUAUUGUGCCUUGGCCAGUAAGCUUGCUCCAACCAAGAAUAUGAAGAGGCAGACACGUGAGACAUCUAAGGGGAAACUGUGGGCAUGGUUUGCUUGUGAGCUGUGUUUAAUUUGCGAUGUAUAGUUGUAUGUGAUGUAACCAACCUUAAUAUCCGCAAGUGGCACUUUUAGUUUCCCUUCUUUUUGCUGAUGAGUUUCAUUUUCAAUGGAAAAUAGAACUGAGCAGUUCCUCCCUAUUCUAAAAACCUGUUUGUUCUGUUAGAAAAUUAUUCUUCUAGAAGAAGUGAGCAUCACACAUAGUUGUCCAAUGGAAGUUUCCAAGUUUUCUU